AAAGAGGGGAAGAAAGAGAGGAAUCGCAGGAGCAGACAGAGUAAACACGGCCUCGCUGGCUUUCUGGCUCUCUGCGUGGGCCGAGGUGGGGAUCAACCAGGACCUUUGCACCAGAAGGAAACUCACGAAGCAAUCAGGAAGCUAUCGGAACAGGUAUGCCUCGUGCAUUUUACCAACACUGGUUCAUCCUGGUCACAUUACUGUU